rnacentral:rRNA from 1 species
CGAGCGAACGGACGAGAAGCUUGCUUCUCUGAUGUUAGCGGCGGACGGCCUGAGUAACACGUGGAUAACCUACCUAUAAGACUGGGAUAACUUCGGGAAACCGGAGCUAAUACCGGAUAAUAUUUUGAACCGCAUGGUUCAAAAGUGAAAGACGGUCUUGCUGUCACUUAUAGAUGGAUCCGCGCUGCAUUAGCUAGUUGGUAAGGUAACGGCUUACCAAGGCAACGAUGCAUAGCCGACCUGAGAGGGUGAUCGGCCACACUGGAACUGAGACACGGUCCAGACUCCUACGGGAGGCAGCAGUAGGGAAUCUUCCGCAAUGGGCGAAAGCCUGACGGAGCAACGCCGCGUGAGUGAUGAAGGUCUUCGGAUCGUAAAACUCUGUUAUUAGGGAAGAACAUAUGUGUAAGUAACUGUGCACAUCUUGACGGUACCUAAUCAGAAAGCCACGGCUAACUACGUGCCAGCAGCCGCGGUAAUACGUAGGUGGCAAGCGUUAUCCGGAAUUAUUGGGCGUAAAGCGCGCGUAGGCGGUUUUUUAAGUCUGAUGUGAAAGCCCACGGCUCAACCGUGGAGGGUCAUUGGAAACUGGAAAACUUGAGUGCAGAAGAGGAAAGUGGAAUUCCAUGUGUAGCGGUGAAAUGCGCAGAGAUAUGGAGGAACACCAGUGGCGAAGGCGACUUUCUGGUCUGUAACUGACGCUGAUGUGCGAAAGCGUGGGGAUCAAACAGGAUUAGAUACCCUGGUAGUCCACGCCGUAAACGAUGAGUGCUAAGUGUUAGGGGGUUUCCGCCCCUUAGUGCUGCAGCUAACGCAUUAAGCACUCCGCCUGGGGAGUACGACCGCAAGGUUGAAACUCAAAGGAAUUGACGGGGACCCGCACAAGCGGUGGAGCAUGUGGUUUAAUUCGAAGCAACGCGAAGAACCUUACCAAAUCUUGACAUCCUUUGACAACUCUAGAGAUAGAGCCUUCCCCUUCGGGGGACAAAGUGACAGGUGGUGCAUGGUUGUCGUCAGCUCGUGUCGUGAGAUGUUGGGUUAAGUCCCGCAACGAGCGCAACCCUUAAGCUUAGUUGCCAUCAUUAAGUUGGGCACUCUAAGUUGACUGCCGGUGACAAACCGGAGGAAGGUGGGGAUGACGUCAAAUCAUCAUGCCCCUUAUGAUUUGGGCUACACACGUGCUACAAUGGACAAUACAAAGGGCAGCGAAACCGCGAGGUCAAGCAAAUCCCAUAAAGUUGUUCUCAGUUCGGAUUGUAGUCUGCAACUCGACUACAUGAAGCUGGAAUCGCUAGUAAUCGUAGAUCAGCAUGCUACGGUGAAUACGUUCCCGGGUCUUGUACACACCGCCCGUCACACCACGAGAGUUUGUAACACCCGAANCCGGUGGAGUAACCUUUUAGGAGCUAGCCGUCGAAGGUGGGACAAAUGAUUGGGG